AUUACAUCUGGAUUCUGAUAUGUGGAUCGUUACCUGUGACGUGGAAUCCCUGUAUACAUCUAUACAUCACGAGGAUGGCCUCAGAGCUACACAGGCGUUCCUGCUCAUGUCCGGAAUGGAUGAAAAUCAAGGGUCGAAGCAUGGGCCAGAUAUAUUGAUGACGUGAUCUUCAUCUGGAAAGGAACCGAGGACGAAUUGAGAACAUUCAUGAGCCACCUUAACUCAAAUGACUUAAACAUCAAGUUGACAUACAAGGGAUGACGACGAGAGAGUUGAAGAAAAGAACAAGGGAACACGUCUUGAGUAUAUUGGCGGCAAACGAAGAAUCGGAUCUACGAAGGCUCACAACAGUUCCACGACAUUUCAAGCUCCACCACAAUUGUGACCCUCGAGGUCUGAUGGUUUGGGAGCUAUUCCGCGUCUACAUGCCAAUUUAAAGUUGUACUUUAAUGGAUUAGGUCAUUGUUCAUGCACCUUAUCUGGGGACAGUUCUACCCUGUCGCCUGGGGUCAUACUUGCACUUUUUUAAUUGUAU